rnacentral:rRNA from 1 species
GCACACUUGUUUUCAAGUUCAUAAUAAAUUAUUAUUUUAUUAUUAUUGGCAGAUUCUUUUUAUUUAAAGUUUUAGGUUUUGUUUGUUAAAUAAAGUUUAAUGUAACUCACUUGAUCUCGGUCAUUGACUACACCUUGACCUGAUUUGUUAGUAAGUUAUUGGGAUUGUUUUUGUUAAUAUAAUCUUUAAACGGCGGUAUGUAAGUUUUUGGCUAAGUGAAAAUUAUCGGGGGAUAUCGAUUAAAAAGCAAGUUCCUCUGCUAAGUACUAGUGCCGCCAAACUACAUAGGUUUGGAUAAAUUCUACUACCUAAGAAUAAUUACA